rnacentral:lncRNA from 10 species
UUCCGGAGGUGGCUCAGAGCGGGAGGAUGUCCUGCCCCUUUCCCUUUGGCCAAGGGUUAGUGGCGGGGCUGAAGGUAAACAGGCUGUUGUGUUUCCUCGGUGCUGUUAGUUGCUGUGUGGCCGGUAGCCAUGUGAUGAGAUUGUCCCAGUGCUUCGCAUGUUUUUGGCUCCAUGUUCAAUCCAUUUGCUGAACACAGUGAAAGUAUCCAGUAUGUCUUUCCACCGUACCCUAGAGUUGGCAUCUUGUUUACCAGAGGGGAGCGGGGAUGUAUGCUGUGAUCUGAAAUAUAAUGAGGUAGAUCUUCAGUGAGAGCAUCUGAGAGCUUGGAGACGGAAGAAAGAUGUGAUUGGCCACUGAAUGGGGAGCAGAGUCCCCACUCUGUGCGAGGAAUCCCUGCUCUUUCUAAGCACAUUCUUCAAAAGCACCAUCUUUUUGUUGCCUGUUGAAGGAAUUCUGAAAAGCAGUUAGGCUUAACAGAAAUACUUGUGGAUCCAAAUCCAUGGUAGGAGGUCUGAUUAAGAGGAUUUGCAGAGAGGCUUUUGAGAAGUUGGAUGCUCACUGCUGGUUAGAAACUACUGCUCUGGAAUGAGCCACA